rnacentral:lncRNA from 1 species
CCAGGGGCAAGAGUUAUUCCCCCUCCAUAAGUACUCCCCGUUAAGGGACAAGAGUCAUGGCAGGGCUAUCAAUCAAACAAUAACAAAACCUAUCAAACACAACUACUCCCCUUUUUAGCCAAAAAGUUGACAAACUUAAACAAACAUUAGCAGAGUAGUCAAAAGUUAGGUUACAGACAAAAGCACUAUAAAGUACAUAAAUAUUCAGGGUAAAGCCCACAAAAAGAACUAGAAGAACAAACAAAACACAAAAGAUCCAGAUCGAGAGUACUUCAGUCAUCAUAAUUGUUGGUAUUUUCUUCAUCGUCACUUACAUCAGUACCUUCUUCAUUAGCACCUUCUUCACCUGUUCCAUCACCUUUCAAAUUCCUUUCUUCUUCAGACAAGACAUAUAUGCAAAUAUUUUUAUUUAUAUUUGGAACAUAAAUAUAGUUUUUCCAUAUACGCAAAUAUUUGGAUCAACCGUAUAUUUUCCCAUAUGUAAA